rfam:Aedes aegypti strain Liverpool supercont1.1272 genomic scaffold, whole genome shotgun sequence.
GGCUCGGUAGCUUAGUUGGUAAAGCGCUCGUCUAGCAUACAAGAGUUCUGGGUUCAAACCCAGCCGAGCAC